GGCCGACUAGCUCAGUUGGUUAGAGCGUCGUGCUAAUACUCAUUAACGCGAAGGUCUUGGGUUCGAUCCCCACGUUGGCCA